GACAUGACUCUCGGCAAUGGAUAUCUUGGCUCUUGCAUCGAUGAAGAGCGCAGCGAAAUGCGAUACGUGGUGCGAAUUGCAGAAUCCCGCGAACCAUCGAGUCUUUGAACGCAAGUUGCGCCUGAGGCCAGCAGGCUAAGGGCACGUUCUCCUGGGCGUCAAUC
rnacentral:rRNA from 5 species